rnacentral:tRNA from 3 species
UCCGGCGUAGCUCAGUUGGUAGAGCAGUCGGCUGUUAACCGACUUGUCGCAAGUUCGAGUCUUGCCGCCGGAGCCA